GAUGAAGAACGUAGCGAAAUGCGAUAAGUAAUGUGAAAUGCAGAAUUCAGUGAAUCAUCGAAUCUUUGAACGCACAUUGCGCCCGCCAGUAUUCUGGCGGGCAUGCCUGUUCGAGCGUCAUUUCAACCAUCAAGCCCCAGGCUUGUGUUGGGGACCUGCGGCUGCCGCAGGCCCUGAAAACCAGUGGCGGGCUCGCUGUCACACCGGGCGUAGUAGAUUUUAUCUCGCUCAGGGCGUGCUGCGGGUUCCGGCCGUUAAAAAGCCUUUUUUACCCAAGGUUGACCUCGGAUCAGGUAGGAAUACCCGCUGAACUUAAGCAUAUCAAUAAGCGGAGGA
rnacentral:misc_RNA from 1 species